rnacentral:siRNA from 1 species
UUCGCUAACAAUAUUAUCUCGA